UACAGAGGGGGCAAGCGUUGUUCGGAAUUACUGGGCGUAAAGGGCGCGUAGGCGGCCCGCUAAGUCGAACGUGAAAUCCCCGAGCUCAACUCGGGAACUGCGUCCGAUACUGGCGGGCUUGAAUCCGGGAGAGGGAUGCGGAAUUCCAGGUGUAGCGGUGAAAUUCGUAGAUAUUCGGAAGAACACCAGUGGCGAAGGCGACUCACUGGACAUGUAUUGACGCUGAGGUACGAAAGCGUGGGGAGCAAACAGG
rnacentral:rRNA from 1 species